rnacentral:rRNA from 1 species
UUUAACUGAAGAGUUUGAUCAUGGCUCAGAUUGAACGCUGGCGGCAGGCUUAACACAUGCAAGUCGAGCGGGGGAAGGUAGCUUGCUACUGGACCUAGCGGCGGACGGGUGAGUAAUGCUUAGGAAUCUGCCUAUUAGUGGGGGACAACAUCUCGAAAGGGAUGCUAAUACC